AAGUAAUUAACUCAAUUGGUAGAGUAUUUCGUUUACAUUGAAAAAGUUAAAGGUUCGAAUCCUUUAUUACUUA
rnacentral:tRNA from 1 species